GCUUGCUCUCUGGGUGGCGAGUGGCGGACGGGUGAGGAAUACAUCGGAAUCUACUUUUUCGUGGGGGAUAACGUAGGGAAACUUACGCUAAUACCGCAUACGACCUACGGGUGAAAGCAGGGGACCUUCGGGCCUUGCGCGAUUGAAUGAGCCGAUGUCGGAUUAGCUAGUUGGCGGGGUAAAGGCCCACCAAGGCGACGAUCCGUAGCUGGUCUGAGAGGAUGAUCAGCCACACUGGAACUGAGACACGGUCCAGACUCCUACGGGAGGCAGCAGUGGGGAAUAUUGGACAAUGGGCGCAAGCCUGAUCCAGCCAUACCGCGUGGGUGAAGAAGGCCUUCGGGUUGUAAAGCCCUUUUGUUGGGAAAGAAAUCCAGCUGGCUAAUACCCGGUUGGGAUGACGGUACCCAAAGAAUAAGCACCGGCUAACUUCGUGCCAGCAGCCGCGGUAAUACGAAGGGUGCAAGCGUUACUCGGAAUUACUGGGCGUAAAGCGUGCGUAGGUGGUCGUUUAAGUCCGUUGUGAAAGCCCUGGGCUCAACCUGGGAACUGCAGUGGAUACUGGGCGACUAGAGUGUGGUAGAGGGUAGCGGAAUUCCUGGUGUAGCAGUGAAAUGCGUAGAGAUCAGGAGGAACAUCCAUGGCGAAGGCAGCUACCUGGACCAACACUGACACUGAGGCACGAAAGCGU
rnacentral:rRNA from 1 species